AUGCAUGCCUAAGUACAGCUCGGUGGGGCAACCUACCGGGCGAAACCGCAGACGGCUCAUUAAAUCAGUUGUGGUCUAAGGGGGCAACAGAUUUCCUUACUUGGAUAACUGUGGAAAAUCCAGAGCUAAUACAUGCGAUUCGAAGUCCUCAGCCAAAGCCUCGCGUCGCUCGCGGCGUACGGUGACUAACUGGGGGUGCUUUUAUUAGACCGAGGCGCGCGCACACGUAGCUUAGCGCCUGUCUUCACGGGCGGGAAUGCGGCUGCUUGUGUGUCGCACGUAAGCGCUUUAUGGUGACUCUGAAUAACACUGAUAAGCGUGCUUUAAGUAGCACGCUGCCUUCUUACGAGUGACUGCCCUAUCAGCUACUAACGUAUGUUAUACGCGAACGUUGGCUAUAACGGGUAACGGGGAAUCAGAGUUCGAUUCCGGAGAGGCAGCCUGAGAAACGGCUACCACGUCUAAGGACGGCAGCAGGCACGCAAAUUACCCAAUCCCAG
rnacentral:rRNA from 1 species